GCAAGGAUUAAUGAAUUCAAGGUGUAGAAAAAGAGAUUCCACCUGAACAUCAGGAAAAACCUGCUGACAGUAAGGGCUCUUCGACCGUGGAAUGCACUAACAUGGAGUGUGGUGGAGUCUCCUUCUUUGGAGGUUUUUAAAGAGAGGCUGGAUGUCCAUCUGUGAAGAGUGCUUUGAUUGUGUGU